rnacentral:rRNA from 1 species
GACGAACGCUGGCGGCGUGCUUAACACAUGCAAGUCGAACGGAAAGGCCCUGCUUUUGUGGGGUGCUCGAGUGGCGAACGGGUGAGUAACACGUGAGUAACCUGCCCUUGACUUUGGGAUAACUUCAGGAAACUGGGGCUAAUACCCGAUAGGAGCUCCUGCUGCACGGUGGGGGUUGGAAAGUUUCGGCGGUUGGGGAUGGACUCGCGGCUUAUCAGCUUGUUGGUGGGGUAGUGGCUUACCAAGGCUUUGACGGGUAGCCGGCCUGAGAGGGUGACCGGCCACAUUGGGACUGAGAUACGGCGCAGACGCCUACGGGAGGCAGCAGGGGGGAAUAUUGCACAAUGGGCGGAAGCCUGAUGCAGCAACGCCGCGUGCGGGAUGACGGCCUUCGGGUUGUAAACCGCUUUCGCCUGUGACGAAGCGUGAGUGACGGUAAUGGGUAAAGAAGCACCGGCUAACUACGUG